GUCUGUUCACUUCUACCCACAAGAGUCCAAGUCACCCCUCAUCAUCUUCUCUUUCACUUGGUCAUGUGACCCUUAGGCAAAAGACUCUAUCCAGGUUUUGACAUUUUUGACUCAAAUUUAAGGGAGCUGGAUUAUAUGCCUAUUUUAAGCUUUAAAAUUUUAUGAAUUAAAUCUAGUCAUGUAUAUUGCAACAAGAGAUAUCAUUUAAAAUUUUUUAACAUUGUAGGCCUCAUAUCCCGGGCUCUGUACACCCUAAAUUCUGCUUCCACAUCAUCCAGAUACUCCCAGCAACACCUUUCAAAGACUAAUCUAAUGGGCAAUAAAAUAGCAAGGAGGCUUCAAAGGCCAAAAACUCAGGAAAUGGCUUUCCACUGAUGGAUUCUCUCUUCACCAGUUCUCUUUAUGACACGUGGCAAAACACAUACAAGAAGGCCCACCAAGUGGCCUAAUCCAGAUUGAACAGUGAUCUUGGUCUCCUGAGUAAAAGUGACUUUUAAUGGUGCUGUAACAAGAGUUAUUCACCAUCUUCCUUAAAGGCUCAAAUGUCUGCUGAAUACUUGCAUUGUUGCAUUGCAGGCUCCUACUAACCACAGAAAAGGGAUCAUCGAUCUUUUCCUGCCCAGUGUGGCAGAAGACGUCCAACCAUCAGCUUUGCAAGUUCACACAGCUCCAUCCAGAACCCCAUUUAGACCUCACUGGUGAUCACAAAUCCUUUCCCAACUUUUAUUUCUAUACUCAUUUAAAUAAAUAGAAAUGGUUCUAAACUCCAUUAAACCCUUUAUCUAAUAUUCACUAUCAGUACUGCGAAAAUAGUGUGGGAGGACUGACGUGAUUAUACCCCGAGUGUCCCGCGUGAAGGAGGAGCUGGCCCCGGGGUUUUAAAACAGAAGAGUUGAUUUGCAUUUCUGCCAACCAGACCUGCUGUGGUCAACCAGCAGCCUCUCAACCUGGGCUCUAGAAAUCCUGCUUACAUGAAAUAGCCAGGAGAAAGGGCAAUGCUACUGAGCAGUAUUUACUAACCCGUGGAAAACUAAAACUGAGAUUAAUCCAAAUAAACUUCAACACACUCA